GAAAAGUCAGGACGAAUAUGGCCCUUGGGAGUUGGGACAUUGAGUUUUUUUUCUAAGCAGACUGUCUUAUCUCUUUUUGAGAAUUGCUACACUUACAAAGGCUGUUACAAAUAAAGUCUUACAAACUGACGUGGCAAAAAAAAAUUGGGAUCAACUGCCCGUGAUGGAAUCCCCCAACUUGACUUCCUCCUGCUUCUCAAUCUCCUUCACCCACAACCCGGCGUGAAUCCUCUGCUUCUUCAACCUCUGUUGCAUAUCUUGCUGUUUGGCCUUGGACCCUCUCCUCUAAUUCCAAUUCUCAUUCAUGUCCUCCACAAACGCCUUGGUCCGAAGACGGGAAAUUCACGUCGGUCUCACAGGGAGCCCGGUGCUUCAGCGAUAGGUCCUCCGGCAGCCAAGCCAUCUCCCAUGAGUCGUUCCAUUGGUCGUCGGGAUUUUUUGAGUUGCGGCUGGCGGACGAAGAAGACGGUUUGUUGGAGGAAUCUCUAGAAUGGGGCUUUGGGAUUGUGGCUUGAGCUUGAAAUGGAGGAUCACUGGUUGGUUAAUUGGUAUGUAGAAUUUUGAUUGAAGAAAUUGGUCUGAGAAGAAGAAAUCCGUGACCCAGCGUGGGUCUGGGUCUGGCAACGACCCGCCGGCCUGACCUUGCUGGGUCUCGGCCAGACCCAGGCGUGGGUCUGGCCGAGACCCACGAUGCACGGCAGGUCGCGGGCAGACUCAAGCGUGGGUCUGCCCGCGACCCAGUCUGGUCUCUCACGGGCAGUUGGUCCCAUUUUUUUUUUUGUCUUUUUCCUUGCCACGUCAGUUUGUAAGGCUUUGUUUGUAAAAGCCUUUGUAAGUUUAGCAAUUCUCCUUAUUUUUCUAAGACGCGUAGUUUCAUACUAAACACAAAUCUAAUCUUGACAAAUAAACUUAUAGAAUUUUCUCAUAUCUAGCUAUUCAAUGGGACCCCUUGCCUAUUAUUUGUGUAUAUUCUUCAAAACCUGUAUAUUCAUAUCAAUCUCAAACCAUUUAUUGAA